rnacentral:rRNA from 1 species
GAUGAACGCUGGCGGCGUGCCUAAUACAUGCAAGUCGAGCGAACGGACGAGAAGCUUGCUUCUCUGAUGUUAGCGGCGGACGGGUGAGUAACACGUGGAUAACCUACCUAUAAGACUGGGAUAACUUCGGGAAACCGUAGCUAAUACCGGAUAAUAUUUUGAACCGCAUGGUUCAAAAGUGAAAGACGGUCUUGCUGUCACUUAUAGAUGGAUCCGCGCUGCAUUAGCUAGUUGGUAAGGUAACGGCUUACCAAGGCAACGAUGCAUAGCCGACCUGAGAGGGUGAUCGGCCACACUGGAACUGAGCCGCGGUCCAGACUCCUACGGGAGGCAGCAGUGGUGAAUCUUCCGCAAUGGGCGAAAGCCUGACGGAGCAACGCCGAGUGAGUGAUGAAGGUCUUCGGAUCGUAAAACUCUGUUAUUAGGGAAGAACAUAUGUGUAAGUAACUGUGCACAUCUUGACGGUACCUAAUCAGAAAGCCACGGCUAACUACGUG